AUUGAACGCUGGCGGCAGGCCUAACACAUGCAAGUCGAGCGGAAGAAGGGAGAUGGCUCCUGGUUUCAGGAGGGGAGGGGGGAGUAAUGCCUAGGUAUCUGCCAGUGCGUGGGGGAGAGCGUCAGGAAACGGGAGCUAAUACUACAAACGCCUAGAGGCAGAAAGGGGGAGAGCUGGGGACCUCAGGCUCUUGCCAGAGCAUAGGUGGGAUUAGCUAGUUGGUGGGGUAAGGGCCUACCUAGGCGACGAUCCGUAGCUGGUCUGAGAGGAUGAUCAGUCACACUGGAACUGAGACACGGUCCAGACUCCUACGGGAGGCAGCAGUGGGGAAUAUUGGACAAUGGGCGAAAGCCUGAUCCAGCCAUGCCGCGUGUAUGAAGAAGGCCUUCGGGUUGUAAAGCACUUUAAGUGGGGAGGAAGGGCAGUAAGUUAAUACCUUGCUUUUUUGACGUUACCCACAGAAUAAGCACCGGCUAACUUCGUG
rnacentral:rRNA from 1 species